rnacentral:piRNA from 1 species
UAGGUAUCCUUAGGAUGGUUUCUUACCAC